UAGGGAAUCUUCUACAAUGGACGCAAGUCUGAUGGAGCAACGCCGCGUGAGUGAAGAAGGUUUUCGGAUCGUAAAGCUCUGCUGUUGGUGAAGAAGGAUAGAGGCAGUAACUGGUCUUUAUUUGACGGUAAUCAACCAGAAAGUCACGGCUAACUACGUGCCAGCAGCCGCGGUAAUACGUAGGUGGCAAGCGUUGUCCGGAUUUAUUGGGCGUAAAGCGAGCGCAGGCGGAAUGAUAAGUCUGAUGUGAAAGCCCACGGCUCAACCGUGGAGCUGCAUCGGAAACUGUCAUUCUUGAGUGCAGAAGAGGAGAGUGGAAUUCCAUGUGUAGCGGUGGAAUGCGUAGAUAUAUGGAAGAACACCAGUGGCGAAGGCGGCUCUCUGGUCUGCAACUGACGCUGAGGCUCGAAAGCAUGGGUAGCGAACAGG
rnacentral:rRNA from 1 species